rnacentral:lncRNA from 1 species
GGGCAGUUUUGGGACUCUAACACAAACUUGGACGAAAUUUGGUUUUCUAAUGACCUAAAACACUUAAAAACAUAUUCUAAGACAAGUUCUAAUUAAUAUGACUCAAAGAAAUAAGGUGGGGUUGAUUUUGGACGAAAAUAAGUAAAACAAAGCAAGAACAAUGUAAACAGAUUCUUAGACAAAAUUAAGUGAAUUGAUGAGAUAUGGGGUAACUAGAGGGUUCUUCUCUACACAUGACACACUUGCAUUCGAAGUUGAUUUCCAAUGGCUUCUUUCAAUAAACCAUGAACCUCAAUGCCCUAGGUUAACUGUGAUAACACUUUUUUAACCUUCAAGUCUUCCUUAAAUUAUUGAUGAUGGAAUGCACAUGCAACAACUCAAAACAUUCUCUAAACGUCCCUUACGUGAAAAGCACAAUAAAGGUACAAUCAAAGAUCAUUAAGCUUCAUGAAAACUAUAAGCAUUGA